AGUGAACGCUGGCGGUAGGCCUAACACAUGCAAGUCGAACGGCAGCACAGAGGAGCUUGCUCCUUGGGUGGCGAGUGGCGGACGGGUGAGGAAUACAUCGGAAUCUACUCUGUCGUGGGGGAUAACGUAGGAAAACUUACGCUAAUACCGCAUACGACCUACGGGUGAAAGCAGGGGAUCUUCGGACCUUGCGCGAUUGAAUGAGCCGAUGUCGGAUUAGCUGGUUGGCGGGGUAAAGGCCCACCAAGGGGACGAUCCGUAGCUGGUCUGAGAGGAAGAGCAGCCACACUGGAACUGAGACACGGUCCAGACUCCUACGGGAGGCAGCAGUGGGGAAUAUUGGGCAAUGGGCGCAAGCCUGAUCCAGCCAUACCGCGUGGGUGAAGAAGGCCUUCGGGUUGUAAAGCCCUUUUGUUGGGAAAGAAAUCCAUCUGGUUAAUACCCGGGUGGGAUGACGGUACCCAAAGAAUAAGCACCGGCUAACUUCGUGCCAGCCGCCGCAGUAA
rnacentral:rRNA from 1 species